rnacentral:lncRNA from 1 species
UUGAAAAAAAACAAGUGAAACUGCGAGCUACUGCUCACUGAUGAUACCCCCGCCGCAAGUGGAUAAUAUUAAUAGUGAAAAAAUAUGCAAGUGUUCGGUAAAUAGGAAGUUGUCGAGUGAUGAAUCUGAAAACGCAUCACACGGUAUAGCUGACUUAUAUAAAUCCUGAAACCAAAUUUCAGAAAUCCUUGUAUUGCAGUUCCUGAGAAAAAUGUGACGAAAAUUUUCAACUUGGCUAUCAUGUGUAAAAUCAUACAAGUGUUCGGUAAACAGGAAGUUGUCGAGUG